AUUGAACGCUGGCGGCAUGCCUUACACAUGCAAGUCGAACGGCAGCACGGGGCAACCUGGUGGCGAGUGGCGAACGGGUGAGUAAUGCAUCGGAACGUACCUUUCAGUGGGGGAUAACGUAGCGAAAGUUACGCUAAUACCGCAUAUUCUGUGAGCAGGAAAGCAGGGGAUCGCAAGACCUUGCGCUGAUUGAGCGGGCGAUGUCAGUUUAGCUAGUUGGUGAGGUAAAGGCUCACCAAGGCGACGAUCUGUAGCGGGUCUGAGAGGAUGAUCCGCCACACUGGAACUGAGACACGGUCCAGACUCCUACGGGAGGCAGCAGUGGGGAAUUUUGGACAAUGGGGGCAACCCUGAUCCAGCCAUGCCGCGUGAGUGAAGAAGGCCUUCGGGUUGUAAAGCUCUUUCGGCCGGGAAGAAAUCGCACGGGCUAAUACCCUGUGUGGAUGACGGUACCGGAAUAAGAAGCACCGGCUAACUACGUGCCAGCCGCCGCAGUAACAC
rnacentral:rRNA from 1 species